AGCGAACGCUGGCGGCAGGCUUAACACAUGCAAGUCGAACGGGCACUUCGGUGCUAGUGGCAGACGGGUGAGUAACGCGUGGGAACGUACCCUUUGCUACGGAAUAGCUCCGGGAAACUGGAAUUAAUACCGUAUGUGCCCUACGGGGGAAAGAUUUAUCGGCAAAGGAUCGGCCCGCGUUGGAUUAGCUAGUUGGUGGGGUAAUGGCCUACCAAGGCGACGAUCCAUAGCUGGUCUGAGAGGAUGAUCAGCCACAUUGGGACUGAGACACGGCCCAAACUCCUACGGGAGGCAGCAGUGGGGAAUAUUGGACAAUGGGCGCAAGCCUGAUCCAGCCAUGCCGCGUGAGUGAUGAAGGCCUUAGGGUUGUAAAGCUCUUUCACCGGAGAAGAUAAUGACGGUAUCCGGAGAAGAAGCCCCGGCUAACUUCGUGCCAGCCGCCGCCGUAACAC
rnacentral:rRNA from 1 species